GGCGAAAGCCUGAUGGAGCAACGCCGCGUGGGUGAAGAAGGUCUUCGGAUCGUAAAACCCUGUUGUUAGAGAAGAAAGUGCGUGAGAGUAACUGUUCACGUUUCGACGGUAUCUAACCAGAAAGCCACGGCUAACUACGUGCCAGCAGCCGCGGUAAUACGUAGGUGGCAAGCGUUAUCCGGAUUUAUUGGGCGUAAAGGGAACGCAGGCGGUCUUUUAAGUCUGAUGUGAAAGCCUUCGGCUUAACCGGAGUAGUGCAUUGGAAACUGGGAGACUUGAGUGCAGAAGAGGAGAGUGGAACUCCAUGUGUAGCGGUGAAAUGCGUAGAUAUAUGGAAGAACACCAGUGGCGAAAGCGGCUCUCUGGUCUGUAACUGACGCUGAGGUUCGAAAGCGUGGGUAGCAAACAGGAUUAGAUACCCUGGUAGUCCACGCCGUAAACGAUGAAUGCUAAGUGUUGGAGGGUUUCCGCCCUUCA
rnacentral:rRNA from 1 species